UAAUCAAGCAUGUGUUGGUCAACAACCUUGUGAGAAUGGGGUAGAGAACAUUCAAGGACUAGAAUGUUCCCCAAAGUUAUGAAGGAAUCUGAUGCCUGGGAUGGCCCAGGGAACCAGAAUGACUCAAAGCCCAAGAAGAUCCUCUAUAUUCACCACCUCCCCAGGGUCCUGGGGUCCUUCAUACUUGGUCCUCGUGCUUGGAUUUUUUUUCUCUCCUUCCUGCUCCCCAGUGCCUUCUGCCGGAUUGGGGAAAUUCCACGAUAGCCAACAGUGCCACCAGGUACCCAUAACUGGAGAAGAGGAAGGAACGGACUGGCCAGUCAGAGGGAAGGGCAGGGCCCCAAGUCUCGGCCCAAAAGACAGAAGGGCCCCAGAGGGAAAGUCCCCAUGCUAGAGCAUCCUGUCUCCCCCAGGGUGUGGCAGGUGCUGACUCAGGUUGGCAUCUCUAGGGGAAGAGAUGUAGGGAAAGCAACCAGGAAACAGGGCUGAAAAGCUGGAAAAUCUUCUUGAACCAGAACUAGAGUCUCUGCAUUGCACGGUGGUUGGUGAAGUUGACAGCAUUGCCCAGAGCACUGGUGGGACUGGGAACGUGUCUGGCAGGGCCUGGGUGGCAGCCUGUCUGCUGCACAACUCCAUGGUAUGCCUUGGGCUUGGGGCGUAUACACUGUGAGCGGUGCCAGGAGGUAGGCAGUCCUGAGGUUCUAGGCCUGCAUGAGAAACAGAAGCCUUGGAACGAAGUGAGACUGCGGGGGCCUAGGGAAGGAAGGGAUGCUCUGGCUAGGAGAUGAGAGCAGGGGACAGAGGACAGUCCCAGGAAGGAGGAGCUGCUUGCUUUGGGGAGGACCCUGCCCUUACCUCUUUCCUGUUCCAUUCAUUCAUUCAACAGUGACUGAGUGCCCCUGUGCUGGGCACCAUGCUGGGCACGGAGGCCAAACACGGACACAUGGAGCUUAUGGUCCUGAGAGGGGCUGUCGCACAGAACCCUCUGAGUGUUGGGAACAGUGUAGAGAGGCAGUCAAGUAAUCCUAUAAGCAAAUGUAAAAUUACAGCUCUGCCCUUAGGGAGGUGUGUGUGGUGCUGGGUGAGCUCCUAUGGGGGUGGGUGAGGUUUCCCAGGAAGGGAGCUUGGAGCUGGGGCUGCAGGUAUGGGGGAGGAGCCCUGGCUUGGGGCUCGGACACACAUCUCCUCUGUGCUUCUCCAGAAGCAGGGCCUGUGUUGCCCUCUUUCAGCUCAUCCUGUGGGCGUACAGCCCCUCUGCUUCUGCUCCUGCCAUGACCUACCGAGAAGGCUGGUUUGAUCGCAUGUCUCCUCACCUGCCUGCCCCAUGGUGGUUGCUCAACAAACAUUUACAUAAUUCAGCCAGUCAGUCCUUGAGCAGUAAUCACUGAGCACCAAUACAGCUCACCCCACGGCACUGACCAAGACUGCCAAGGGCCCUGCUCUCGUAGAGCUUACACUCAAGCUGGGGAGACUGACACUGUAGAAGCAAAUACACACAAAAGACGAUUUCAUCAAGUCAUAAAAACAACAACAGGAAUGGGGUAAAGAGCUGGACUUUGCCUCUGGCAGACACUUUAACAGGAAUGGCAGGGGUAGAGAAGAACUGAGCCUUGCCCAGAUGGGAGAUGAAGAGACCACAUAUUUCUCAUUCUCGAGGUCAAGGAGACCUUUCCAACUACACAUGUGCAGAAAGGCUCCUUGGGGGCCAAAAAGGGAGGGGGCAUCACCCCAUAGUAGGUGACGUCAGUCUACCCAUAGGCCUCUUCACUAGAAUCCAUCUUGGCUGAGAUGCGCAUGCACACAUGGGAGGACCCUGAGAUAAACCAAAUAUGGACUCAGAGCCAGACAAAGCAAGAUGAUUGGCCAAAGGAAACCCGGAAGAAAUGCCCCAUAUAAGUGAUUCAAACUACCACGAGGGUGCGACUCUCUGAGUCCACCCAUGUGAGUCUUAUUCACAUGUACACUUUUUUCCUCCUAAUAAACACUUUACUUGUUUCA